CAGAGUUGCAAAACUCCCACAAACCAUCGCGAAUCUUACCCGUACGGUUGCCCUCGGCGCUGGCGGUCCGGAAGGCCCUCGGGCCCCCCGGAUCCUCGGGUCUCCCGCUCGCGGGAGGCUGCCCGCCGGAGUGCCGAAACCAAACUCUUGAUAUUUUAUGUCUCUCUGAGUAAACUUUUAAAUAAGUCA
rnacentral:misc_RNA from 1 species